CAAGAACUUCCGGCACAGGCUGAGUAGUGGUGUAAAAAUGGCUUUGGAAUGGCAACAUUCGACCGAAAAUCUUGUUAAAAGUUUUGACCAUUCCGCAUCCAAGUAAGGUAACAUCAUGGCCGGACAACAUGUCGAUAUGGCCCAGCAUCACAACAUCCAAGAUCUUUUCUUAUUUUAUUGAUUCCAUGGCGGUGGAUGGGAAUGCAAUUAAUAACCUAAGAAAGCUCAGAGGCGUUUCAGUACCUCCAUUCCGACAAAGUGGGCUGUGUACUUUUACACGAUAUGGGCAUAGAACGGCCGAUGUUCAACCAAGCCAGUCCGUUAACAAUUCAGCGCGUAACGCCUGGGUUUUGGUUACCAAGACGGGAGAUGUGGAGCUUUGCGCUUUGGAAGCAUUUAACCCUUCAAAGUCGACUGACGAGCGUCAAAGUGCGCACCCCUGACAUAUCUAUUAAUAGCUUCGGAAUGGAUAAAAGUACAGGAGGUUCCCCAGGCCUCCAUGGGAUUUUCUCCCUUUGAACUUUUGUUUGGACACCGAGGGGGGGGUGAUGGACCUAAUUAAAGAAAACUGGGAGGAAGGUCCGAGCCCCGGCAAGAUCGAGAUCCAGUACGUCCUGGACCUGCGAGCAGAGGAGCCAGGCUGCGGCAAUUCACACCGGGAGAAAAGGUACUUUUAUUACUUCCAACUCUAAACUAAGCUAAGUGGCAAGGGCCCUUUGAGUUGUCACACGGAAGGUGGGGGAUGUUGCAAAUAUACCACCUAAACCUCCUGAAAGCCUCGAGGGAGGUGGAGUCUGUUUCUCUGGUGUCCGCGGUAUCAGAAAAAAAGAGCUAGGGCCGGAGGUGGCAAAAGCGGUUAAUCCCACCCCACCCCGCUCUCGUGCGAGGCCCGUCUCUCCGAGGACCAGAGAACGGUUUAUCGUGGACUAUGGCAGGGUGAACGAGGUGUUACAAUUUGAUGCCUACCCAAUGCCCCGGGUCGACUAACUCCUGGACUGGCUGGGCACUGCAUGUUUCUUUACGACCCUGGAUUUGACUAAGAGCUACUGGCAGAUUCCUCUGUCGUCAGAGUCCAAGGAAAAAACUGCUUACUCCACUCCGUAUGGGUUAUACCAAUUUACCACACUUCCCUUUGGCUCGUUCGGUGCCCCGGCCACGUUUCAACGGUUCAUGGACUGGGUACUGCGUCCACACGCCGCCUAUGCUGCCGCCUACUUGGAUGAUGUUGUUAUUAUCCACAGCACCACCUGGGCGGAGCACGUGUGGCGGGUAGGUGGGGGAAGUGUGCAGUUGAAGGGAGGUACGGUAUUUGCGGUACCACUUGGGGGGCGGGCAGGCGUGCACUCAGGUGGACAAGACGCCAGCUAUCGCGGCCUGCCCACGACCCAAGACUAAAAAAGAGGUUAGGUGGUUUUGGGGCAGGCGGGGUAUUACAGGCGCUUCAUCCCCGGCUUUGCGGACUUCACCAGCCCCUUGACUGAUCUGACCCGGAAAGGUCAGUCAGAUCCAGUGGUCGGAGCCAGCAGGCGUUUGAGAAGGUAAAGCAGACUCUCUGUGGGGAACCACUCCUCUACACCCCUAACUUUUCUUUUCCCUUUACUUUGCAGACAGACUCAUCGGACAAGGGGCUGGGUGCCGUUUUGUCCCAGGAGGUGGGGGGGGAGAGUUGACUGCCCCGUGUUAUAAAUCAGCCGGAGGCUGUCCGAGUGGGAGGCCAGGUACAGCACGGUGGAGUAGGAGUGCCUGGCCAUCCAGUGGGCGUUGGACUCCCUGCGCUACUACCUCCUGGGACGUCAUUCACCCUCUGUUCGGACCACGACCCGCUCCCCGCAUGAAGGAUACCAUACUAAUCUCCGCUCCCUCUUUUUUAAAUUGGUUCUGUUCAACCCUCUUUAAUGUUUUGUGUCUGUCUUUUUUGUUUUAUUUUUGUGUGAACUUUGUGGGAAUCGUAUUGCAUCUGUAAGUGUCGGUAUUGUUAAUAUUUCUUCUUUUAUCUGGCCGUAGAGUCGAUCAUGCCCGUUCCUGUGAACACCAAAUUGACUUGAGAAUCCUCAAGCUGAAAUAACAUCACCUGCCCAAAGUUCCAGUUUCCUGAAUACAAAGCCCUCUGUUUGGGAAUUUAUCCCACCUGACGAGUCUCGACGCAGUGACUCAAACAUCUUUGUCAAGGUUAAUUACAGAGGAUCAUUGCAGUCCAAAUUGAACACUGACUGGUCAACAUGAGUCGUCAAGUGCAUGUGUGUGACUCCCCACCGGGUUGUGUGACCUCCUCAGUCAAGUCUGGACUCAGUGAUUCAUUACUCUUGAUCAUGUUUACUCAUUUAUGGACACAUGCUGUUUUUUGUGUUUAGCUAUAGCUAAAGUUAAAAUCCAUUCCAAAACAAUUGUAUACUGUAUUUUUUGUAAUUGAAUUAUUUUUUCUUUUUAAUGUUUGCACUUGUCUCAAUUUUUUCUUUGGCCUAGAUGUCAAGCAAACGUUGGACCUGUCCCACACGUACUUUUUUCCUUUCAACCUUAGGCUAAUCUUAAAAGGAAGAGGUAGUGUGCAUUAGAAAGAGGGGUAGAGAACUGGCACAACUUCCAGUCUUUGUUUGUGCCACGCUCUUACAUUAUUAUUUUAUUGUGUAAUUUAACAACUGAAAAGUUGAUUCUUAUGCCCACAGUAAUUUCCUGCCUCCCUCCCUCAUUUACAGAGACUCACUCUUGUGGCCAAUUAGUCAAUGUCUGUUGAAAUGUCUUCAUUUUUCAUUUGAGUGUUCAUUGAUCAGUAUAAUUGUAAUUAAUAAGCCAAUUUCACUUGGCAGAGAUGGGAGUUUUUGGCACUUGUUUUGAAUACCCUCAGUUAGUUACGGGGGAGGAAACGAGGGUCUCAUUAACUAGGUCGAAAUACAUGACUUUAUUAAUCUUCUACUGCCUGGGAUGUUAAAGAUUUGGUAUCAUCAGGCAGUUUAUGCUGUAUGGUAUUCACCACUGCACAUCUAGAGCUGACCUGAAAACACUGCUAUUGAUGGAUUCUGCUUGUGUGAACACCUGAUAAAGAAAAUGAAAGAGCUAAAGGAGGGUAAGCACUGGACAUAUGUUUGUUAGGGCAUUGUUACGGCCUUUUGGAAUGUUUAGGGAUAUGGCUGCAAGGCGAGCAAAAUAGCUGAAAGUGUAUCUACUUUGCCUGUGAACAUAGCAACCAGGAAAAGGAAGUUUAAUUAGGGAAAGGUUUUCAGUCUUCUAUACAACUCAACAUCACGGUUGUAAUUUUUGUCUUUUAAAGGGCUUUCCAGUCUUUAAACAUGCAACAUCCUCUGUCCCGAAACCCUUACAACAGCACAGGAAAAACUUGAUGAAAAAACCCUUUAACCGGGAGAAAAGAGGAAGAAAGGGCAUAGGAGGGAUCCCUCUAUCAAAAUGAACAACACGUAAAAGAUGUACAGUAUGUACGAAAUAUGACAGAAAUAAUUUAGAGUAGUGGGCGUCGUCACGACUUAAAAUGACUACUGAUAAUAAAAGCUGUAUUGGAUGAAGAAGGCUAACAAUAAUAACAAAUGAUUAUGGUGUCAGCAAUAGUGAUAUGACUACUGUAAAGGGCUGAGGGGCAGAAUAGGAAAAGGGGUGUAUGUACCUACACCAUCGGAAUCAAGCCAUCGCAAUCAGGUGUGCCAGGAGACAUACCUGGACCUCAUCAAGGGGGGUACAAAAGAAGGCGGAAGGAGCAGUGAAGGGAGACAAGUUGAGGGAGGACCCCGUAAGCGGCCCG
ensembl:lncRNA